UACGGGGGGGGCAAGCGUUGUUCGGAAUUACUGGGCGUAAAGGGCUCGUAGGCGGCCAACUAAGUCAUACGUGAAAUCCCUCGGCUUAACCGGGGAACUGCGUCUGAUACUGGAUGGCUUGAGUUCGGGAGAGGGAUGCGGAAUUCCAGGUGUAGCGGUGAAAUGCGUAGAAUAUCUGGAGGAACACCGGUGGCGAAGGCGGCAUCCUGGACCGAUACUGACGCUGAGGCGCGAAAGCGUGGGGAGCAAAACAGGAUUGAGAA
rnacentral:rRNA from 1 species